UCCAUGGGACGUCCAUCACCCCCACCACUUCAUAUUUAAACUUGGGGGGGGGGGGACGAUGAAAAAGACGACGUCCAAUGGACCCCAGACAGCACGGACCAAAGAUAGAGGGCGAUCUACAUAAAUGGACGAUUCACAGUCUGCACAGACGAGAAGAUUGGUGGUAUCACACAAUGUUGACAAGGCCCUUAAAGAAGAAAGAAAUGGAGAAGACACCCUGAAGAGACCUUGAAAUGGCUGGAUUGGUGUCCCUAUACCGGGACGGUUGAGCUAAUGUGCGCUAACGUGAUUAGCAUGACAGUUGUAAGUAACAGCAAACAUUCCAGGACAUAGACAUGUCUUAUAUGGGCAGAAAGCUUAAAUUCUUGUUAAUCUAAUAAUAAUAAUUCAUAAUAA